AACGAACGCUGGCGGCAGGCCUAACACAUGCAAGUCGAACGCUCCAGCAAUGGAGAGUGGCAGACGGGUGAGUAACGCGUGGGAACCUUCCCUAUGGUUCGGAAUAGCUCAGGGAAACUUGAGGUAAUACCGGAUAAGCCCUUCGGGGAAGGAUUAUCGCCAUUGGGUGGGCCCGCGUAGGAUUAGCUAGUUGGUGAGGUAACGGCUCACCAAGGCGACGAUCCUUAGCUGGUCUGAGAGGAUGAUCAGCCACACUGGGACUGAGACACGGCCCAGACUCCUACGGGAGGCAGCAGUGGGGAAUAUUGGACAAUGGGCGCAAGCCUGAUCCAGCCAUGCCGCGUGAGUGAAGAAGGCC
rnacentral:rRNA from 1 species